AAGAUCAGUGCAGCAUUUUAAACCUCCAGUGCAGAUGGGCUAUUAGGAAUCUAAGGAGUUCAACAAGCCUGAAUCAAAGUCAGCUUAAUAACCACUGUCUCUGCUCCAUCAUAGGCCUGGAUUUCUUUUUUCUUUCUGAUCAUGAUUUUUCAUCAUUUUCUCAGGUGGGAUAUGGACCAGCCAGUCACUUUAGUAGAGAGCCCUCAUUUCAGGCAGCUUCAAAUGCCUCAUCAUUUCUGAACGAGUUUCAGCUCCAGGAGAUUUCAGUGCUGGAGGAAUUGCAAUAAGCUAUGAAACUUUAUCCCUUCUCAAGACUCUUCCAAGUCACUGGGGAACUCUGGCUUCCACGGCAUGGACAGCCUGGUCCGAGUGUGCAAAGCUGUGGCUUCCCCUCCUGUGGAUGCCUUCUGAACAGCAGAUCUGACUUCCUCCUCAAACCAAGGCAUCCUGAAAACAUCCAAGCAGAGGAAGCAUUUUUUCACCAUGACAUGGGAAAGGGCCAUAGAGAUCCAAAUGGAAACGGACAUUUCAUGCUUUGAUUGCCAAGAUUUCCAAGCAUGGAUAACUGAAGAAGAUUGCUUGAAUUGACUUCAGCACAAAUGAAUUCCUUAAAAAAUGGUUUGGAUAGAUAUAGCCUCACAUAUAGAAAAAUUUAACCAAUUUCAGAGAAUAAAUCAACAGAGCAUGGCA
rnacentral:lncRNA from 1 species